GCCCGCCUAGCUCAAUCGGAUAGAGCGUCAGACUUUUACGAAGGCGGGUCGAUUCCUACAUCUAGAACAUCUGAAGGCUGCGAGUUCGACCCUCGCGGUGGGCU